AUUGAACGCUGGCGGAAUGCUUUACACAUGCAAGUCGAACGGCAGCACGGGGGCAACCCUGGUGGCGAGUGGCGAACGGGUGAGUAAUACAUCGGAACGUGCCCAGUCGUGGGGGAUAACGUAGCGAAAGUUACGCUAAUACCGCAUACGAUCUACGGAUGAAAGCGGAGGACCGUAAGGCCUCGCGCGAUUGGAGCGGCCGAUGUCAGUUUGGGUAGUUGGUGAGGUAAAGGCUCACCAAGACGACGAUCUGUAGCUGGUCUGAGAGGACGACCAGCCACACUGUGACUGAGGACCGGCCCAGACUCCUACGGGAGGCAGCAGUGGGGAAUUUUGGACAAUGGGCGCAAGCCUGAUCCAGCCAUUCCGCGUGCAGGACGAAGGCCUUCGAGUUGUAAACUGCUUUUGUACGGAACGAAAAGGCUCUGGUUAAUACCUGGGGCUCAUGACGGUACCGUAAGAAUAAGCACCGGCUAACUACGUGCCAGCCGCCGCCGUAA
rnacentral:rRNA from 1 species